rnacentral:rRNA from 1 species
UACGAAGGGGGCUAGCGUUGCUCGGAAUCACUGGGCGUAAAGGGUGCGUAGGCGGGUCUUUAAGUCAGGGGUGAAAUCCUGGAGCUCAACUCCAGAACUGCCUUUGAUACUGAGGAUCUUGAGUCCGGGAGAGGUGAGUGGAACUGCGAGUGUAGAGGUAAAAUUCGUAGAUAUUCGCAAGAACACCAGUGGCGAAGGCGGCUCACUGGCCCGGUACUGACGCUGAGGCACGAAAGCGUGGGGAGCAAACAGG